AACGAACGCUGGCGGCAUGCCUAAUACAUGCAAGUCGAACGAGAUCUUCGGAUCUAGUGGCGCACGGGUGCGUAACGCGUGGGAAUCUGCCCUUGGGUUCGGAAUAACUUCUGGAAACGGAAGCUAAUACCGGAUGAUGACGUAAGUCCAAAGAUUUAUCGCCCAAGGAUGAGCCCGCGUAGGAUUAGCUAGUUGGUGGGGUAAAGGCCCACCAAGGCGACGAUCCUUAGCUGGUCUGAGAGGAUGAUCAGCCACACUGGGACUGAGACACGGCCCAGAAUCCUACGGGAGGCAGCAGUAGGGAAUAUUGGACAACGGGCGAAAGCCUGAUCCAGCAAUGCCGCGUGAGUGAUGAAGGCCUUAGGGUUGUAAAGCUCUUUUACCCGGGAUGAUAAUGACAGUACCGGGAGAAUAAGCUCCGGCUAACUCCGUGCCAGCAGCCGCCGUAAUAC
rnacentral:rRNA from 1 species